GAAGAAAUAGGGUGUUUGGGAUUUUGUGUUUUUGGAAACCUGGGAAAAACAGGGAAUUUUGGAAAAAGAAACUGAAAGUAAACUUUUUAAGGUAUGUGACAUAUUUUCCCACAGAGUGAUCAGAGGCUUGUUUCAAUUUGUGCAAAUGUUGGUUUAAGGAAGCACAUGAACAUGGGAGCAGAAGUUUCAGAAUUAAACGUUGGGCUCUUCCAGAGCCCGACUCUGCCUAGAGAAACCAAAAGGAAAAGCUUGAGCAACAUCACCUUUCCCGAGACUGUAUCAACAACUGCAUUGCUCAACUUGCCUUACACCCGUGGACAGAGCUGCAUGGUUCAUCCUGCCAAGCUGAUGUAUUUAUGGUGUGUGGAGCUCUCUGCACCCACAGACGGCAGGCUUACGCUGGAAUCCAAGGUAUGUAAUGAUGGCAUGAACAUGAUACACUUCCCUGUAACCUGCGCUUCGGGCAGCUGCUAAUGCCCGUCUAACUUUCUGUAGUCUGCGGCCAAAGGAAAGUUGUCUGCAGCAUAUGCAGAGCUCCAGUUCGCUGCAUACUUGCUGUGAAGGCACUGGCAUGCUGAAGGAGAUGCCGCAGAACUGAGCGCCAUUUGCUGAAAUUCAAGUCUCCGAUGUUCUUGUAUAUUUGGGAUAAUUUUUCUGCCCGGGAAAGAAAGUCAUUUCCUCCCUGCUCAUAGUAGCAUCUAAAGUCUCACACAGUGACCCACAGACACAUUUCACUAGACACUACAGAAAUGCUGGGGAAGAUGGGCCGGCUCCAAAGAGCUUAAAGUCAGAGGUAGCAGAAAGGUCAAAGCACAUAAAGGAGAAACCGAGAAGUACAGCGGGAAGGGAAACAGAGUCUGCAGUGACCUUGCCACAACUGCUGAGCAGAACUACAGCAGAGGAAGGGUUUGAACUCAGUCUAUUGGCUCCUAGUCUAAUCUCCUAUUGCGUGCAGCCUCUUGUUUGACAGCCUUCCUCAGGAAAGAUAUGCCUUACUAUUUCAAUAUUGC
rnacentral:lncRNA from 1 species